UACGUAGGGUGCGAGCGUUGUCCGGAAUUAUUGGGCGUAAAGAGCUCGUAGGCGGUCUGUCGCGUCGGUCGUGAAAACUUGGGGCUUAACCCUGAGCUUGCGGUCGAUACGGGCAUGACUGGAGUUCGGCAGGGGAGACUGGAAUUCCUGGUGUAGCGGUGAAAUGCGCAGAUAUCAGGAGGAACACCAGCGGCGAAGGCGGCGCUCUGGGCCGGUACUGACACUGAGGAGCGAAAGCGUGGGUAGCAAACAGG
rnacentral:rRNA from 1 species